ACUUAACCGACUGCGCCACCCAGGCGCCCCAACAUCAUCCUCAUUCCUAAUAAAUUUCAAAAUUACAAUUAUGCCACAGAAUAGCAGAAGAUUUAUUUCCAGGUCUAUACACAGAAGGAAGUUGAACCUGGUGUUUACAUUUUUAGAUUGCUGGUCUGUGGCGUGUCGGUGUUGGGCAUACAGUAUGUUUGAGAGGCUAUGGGGAUUUUUAUUUCUUUAGAAAAUAAUUUAUAUAAAAAUGUGUGUGUGUAUCAUACCUAUGUAUUUAUAUAUACAUAUAUGAUACAGAUAUUUGCAAAAUAACUAUUAUCUGCCUAUCUAAUAAGUUUGAAUGGAUGCUUUGUGUAAGCCCUGGUGCACAUUGGCAUAAAACAGAGUCCUGCAGCACCCCACACAUGGGGGUGUCUUCAGGCUUUGGAAUCGGGCAAACCUGGGUUCAAAUCCUAGCUCUCUUUGUAGUCCCUGUGCUUUCUCUCCUUUGUGCCUUUGCUUCUGCAGCCCCUGAUGACUGGAAUGCCUCCUCCCUAACUCCACCUCCCUUUACUGGCUGACAUUUACUCAUUUUAAAGGACUCAUCUUGAGGGGAACCUCUCCAGGAAGCCAUCUUUAAUUCUUCCAGAUCAGGCAGAACAGCAGAUGUGUUAAUGAUGCCCUCUGGUCUCUAUUUACCUGGAAGUUUGGCAAAGGAAGACGAAGUAAAAGAGAUGCUGCUGACACUUGUCUCUUUGGACUGUGGACUCAGAUUGCACCUUUAGAGUGUCAAACUGUAAAUGAAUUGCGGUGGGCAUUGCCUUCAGCAAAAGAAGGAAAUGAAAUGAUUUUGGAGUGUUUUCAGGAGGUUUGCCUCAUCCUCAAGAGAAUCAUGUCUCAUCAGUAAGAUAUCUCUCGAAAACUUUUCAUUUUUUGCAGAGAUACUCUUAAUUGGGUUAAGGAAAUCACU